GACGAAUGCUGGCGGCGUGCUUAACACAUGCAAGUCGAACGGAAAGGCCCUGCUUUUGUGGGGUGCUCGAGUGGCGAACGGGUGAGUAACACGUGAGUAACCUGCCCUUGACUUUGGGAUAACUUCAGGAAACUGGGGCUAAUACCGGAUAGGAGCUCCUGCUGCAUGGUGGGGGUUGGAAAGUUUCGGCGGUUGGGGAUGGACUCGCGGCUUAUCAGCUUGUUGGUGGGGUAGUGGCUUACCAAGGCUUUGACGGGUAGCCGGCCUGAGAGGGUGACCGGCCACAUUGGGACUGAGAUACGGCCCAGACUCCUACGGGAGGCAGCAGUGGCGAAUAUUGCACAAUGGGCGGAAGCCUGAUGCAGCAACGCCGCGUGCGGGAUGACGGCCUUCGGGUUGUAAACCGCUUUCGCCUGUGACGAAGCGUGAGUGACGGUAAUGGGUAAAGAAGCACCGGCUAACUACGUG
rnacentral:rRNA from 1 species